rnacentral:rRNA from 1 species
UACGUAGGGUGCGAGCGUUGCCCGGAUUUAUUGGGCGUAAAGGGUGCGUAGGUGGCGGGGUAAGUCAGGUGUGAAAUUUCGGAGCUUAACUCCGAAACUGCAUUUGAUACUGCCUUGCUUGAGGACUGGAGAGGAGACUGGAAUUCACGGUGUAGCAGUGAAAUGCGUAGAGAUCGUGAGGAAGACCAGUGGCGAAGGCGGGUCUCUGGACAGUUCCUGACACUGAGGCACGAAGGCCAGGGGAGCAAACGGG